CAGUCGCCACGGUAAUACGUAGGGGGCGAGCGUUGUCCGAAGUUACUGGGCGUAAAGCGUGCGUUGGCGGCUUCUUAAGUCUGAGGUGAAAGGUUCAACGCUUAACGUGAACAGUGCCUUGGAUACUGGGGAGCUUGAGUAUGGGAGAGGGCAGUGGAAUGGCUGGUGUAGCGGUGAAAUGCGUAGAUAUCAGUCGGAACACCCAUGGCGAAGGCAGCUGCCUGGCCUAAUACUGACGCUGAGGUGCGAAAGCGUGGGGAGCAAACAGGAUUAGAUACCCCAGUAGUCCCUGUCUCUUAUA
rnacentral:rRNA from 1 species